AGAUUGAACGCUGGCGGCAUGCCUUACACAUGCAAGUCGAACGGCAGCACGGGAGCAAUCCUGGUGGCGAGUGGCGAACGGGUGAGUAAUACAUCGGAACGUGCCCAAUCGUGGGGGAUAACGCAGCGAAAGCUGUGCUAAUACCGCAUAACGCCUUCGGGGAAAGCGGGAUACGCAAGGACCUGGCGACGGACUAGACUGAAGCCGGAUGGUCCGGAAUUAGGCUAGUUGGUGAGGUUAAUGGCUAGACCAAGGCGAACGAUCCGUAAGCUGGGUACUGAGAGGUAUGAUCAGCCACACUGGAACUGAGACACGGUCCACGACUCCUACGGAGGCAGCGAGUGGGGAAGUAAUUGGGAACAAGUGGGACGCAAGCCUGAUCCAGCCAUACCGGCGUGGU
rnacentral:rRNA from 1 species